UUUUAUUACAACUUUACUUGAAAAGUAAAACAAGAAUUCCACAAAAAAGACAAUAUAAACAGUCAUAUCUUGAUUUAAGUGCACAAAAUCCAAAGCAUGUAGCAGUCUCAAUAACUGAGACACCUUAAGCCUGUAUUGAUUUUUUUUUCUAAAAUUUCAGUGUAUCCUGGCUAAUGAUAAAGCUCAGUUUCUGUGAAAUUAUAUGAAGAGAUUUCUCUGAUAAUACUCUGCCAACUUCCUGGAGAGAAACAAGCUGGAGGUGACAAGUGCCAAUACACUGCGGCAUAAGUAGAGCUUACCUUACAUCUUGGCAUUUCAGUUUUCAACAGUAAGAGAAGCAGUCAGUCAUUUCAACGUCAGUCAGGUGGAUAUAGAGUGACUUCGUGGAAAGUAACAAAUUCAUUAAAUACCUUGAUAGCUCUUCUAGAAGCUUUUUCUGAAACAGGAAUGGAAUUUAGUUGGACUUGGAGAUUUAGAAAAAUAUUGGAAGAACUGAGAAAUCAAAGGUCCAAGGUAGUGAGUCAGAGUUAGAAAGACGGGAGAAGAGUGGAAAGCAUUCAACUGGGCGGUCAGAGGAGACCAUUGAGAAGUGGGAAUUUGAGCAAGCUUGAAGGAAAUGAAGGCGUUAGCCACUGAAAAUAGCAUGGCAUGCAGCAAAGGAGCUGGUACAAAGUUCUUAAGGUAGAAAACUAUUUGAUAAGUUUGAGAGAAUGCAAAGAGUUCAGUGUUGCUGGGGUACAGUGGGUGAGAUAGACAUUAGUGGGAAAUGGUAUCAAAGAAGUCAUAGGAAACAUAUUCUCUAGAGGGUGAACAACUGUGCCAAUGUGCCUGCUACUGCUCUCGUUUAAGCACUGAAAGCCCUUUCUCACAGGAAACCCCUCAAUCUCAGGAAAACUAAGAAAUCUGGUCACCCUGUCAGAAUCUGUGUAAGGCAAUUAACAGUUUAGAAAGAGAAGUCAACAGUAUCUCCUGCUUGUUUGGACUGAGUACUUACAAGAUGAAGUUAGUGUCACCUAAAAUGGACCAUGAAUGAGAUGGAUUUGGAGGAAAUAAAU
rnacentral:lncRNA from 13 species